UGUCCAGGGAAUCGAACCCACAGUGUUCCGCUUACCGGGCAGAUGCCAUGUCCACUAAGCUACCCUGGAC
rnacentral:tRNA from 1 species